rnacentral:rRNA from 1 species
GACGAACGCUGGCGGCGUGCUUAACACAUGCAAGUCGAACGGAAAGGCCCUGCUUUUGUGGGGUGCUCGAGUGGCGAACGGGUGAGUAACACGUGAGUAACCUGCCCUUGACUUUGGGAUAACUUCAGGAAACUGGGGCUAAUACCGGAUAGGAGCUCCUGCUGCAUGGUGGGCGUUGGAAAGUUUCGGCGGUUGGGGAUGGACUCGCGGCUUAUCAGCUUGUUGGUGGGGUAGUGGCGUACCAAGGCUUUGACGGGUAGCCGGCCUGAGAGGGUGACCGGCCACAUUGGGCCUGAGAUACGGCCCAGACUCCUACGGGAGGCAGCAGUGGGGAAUAUUGCACAAUGGGCGCAAGCCUGAUGCGGCAACGCCGCGUGCGGGAUGACCGCCUUCGGGUUGUAAACCGCUUUCGCCUGUGACGAAGCGUGAGUGACGGUAAUGGGUCAAGAAGCACCGGCUAACUACGUG